GAGCAACGCCGCGUGAGGGAUGAAGGCCUCUGGGCUGUAAACCUCUUUUCUCAAGGAAGAAGACAUGACGGUACUUGAGGAAUAAGCCACGGCUAAUUCCGUGCCAGCAGCCGCGGUAAUACGGGAGUGGCAAGCGUUAUCCGGAAUUAUUGGGCGUAAAGCGUCCGCAGGCGGCCUUGUAAGUCUGUCGUUAAAGCGUGGAGCUCAACUCCAUUUCAGCGAUGGAAACUACAAGGCUUGAGUGUGGUAGGGGCAGAGGGAAUUCCCGGUGUAGCGGUGAAAUGCGUAGAUAUCGGGAAGAACACCAGUGGCGAAGGCGCUCUGCUGGGCCAUAACUGACGCUCAUGGACGAAAGCCAGGGGAGCGAAAGGGAUUAGAUACCCCUGUAGUCCUGGCCGUAAACGAUGAACACUAGGUGUCGGGGGAAUCGACCCCCUCGGUGUCGUAGCCAACGCGUUAAGUGCUCCGCCUGGGGAGUACGCACGCAAGUGUGAAACUCAAAGGAAUUGACGGGGGCGCACAAGCGGUGGAGUAUGUGGUUUAAUUCGAUGCAACGCGAAGAACCUUACCAGGGUUUGACAUCCUGCGAAUCCCUUGGAAACGAGGGAGUGCCUUCGGGAGCGCAGAGACAGGUGGUGCAUGGCUGUCGUCAGCUCGUGUCGUGAGAUGUUGGGUUAAGUCCCGCAACGAGCGCAACCCACGUCUUUAGUUGCCAGCAUUCAGUUGGGCACUCUAGAGAGACCGCCGGUGAUAAACCGGAGGAAGGUGUGGAUGACGUCAAGUCAUCAUGCCCCUUACAUCCUGGGCUACACACGUACUACAAUGCUACGGACAAAGGGCAGCAAGCUCGCGAGAGUAAGCAAAUCCCAUAAACCGUGGCUCAGUUCAGAUCGUAGGCUGCAACUCGCCUACGUGAAGGAGGAAUCGCUAGUAAUCGCAGGUCAGCAUACUGCGGUGAAUACGUUCCCGGGCCUUGUACACACCGCCCGUCACACCAUGGAAGUUGGCCAUGCCCGAAGUCGUUACUCCAACCCUUGUGGAGGAGGACGCCGAAGGUGGGGCUGAUGACUGGGGUGAAGUCGUAACAAGGUAGCCGUACCGGAAGGUGCG
rnacentral:rRNA from 1 species